GUUUUAAAGGAGCUGAUCCCUCACUGGAGGUACAGUGUGAGGGUACGAUGUGGAACAGCUCAGCACUUCUGGAGGUGGGGGGACUGGAGCAGAGACUUGGUCUUUCACACCAGAGGUGAUGUUCCAGAGGCUCUGAAUGUGUGGAUGCAGAUGAAGGAAAACCACACACUGGUUAUGUGGAAAAAGCUGCUGGCCAAUCAGAGCCACGGAGAGAUCCUGGACUACGAAGUGACCUGGACUAAAAGCAGAGAGGAAGAGUGGCAGAUCAGGAGCGAAGUGGCAAACAGCAGUGAGAGUGUGACUCUGAGCCUGAACCCCGGGGAGGAGCACAUGGUGACGGUCAGAGCCAGAAACACACAUGGAAGCUCUUCUCCAUCAACCAUCAUCAUCCCCAGCAGGGGUCC